AUACGGAGGGUGCAAGCGUUGUCCGGAAUUAUUGGGUUUAAAGGGUGCGCAGGCGGGCCCGUAAGUCAGUGGUGAAAUCUCUCAGCUCAACUGGGAAACUGCCAUUGAUACUGCGGGUCUUGAGUACGGUUGAGGCGGGCGGAAUUUGUGGUGUAGCGGUGAAAUGCUUAGAUACCACAAGGAACGCCGAUUGCGAAGGCAGCUCGCUGAGCCGUAACUGACGCUCAUGCACGAAAGCGUGGGGAUC
rnacentral:rRNA from 1 species